UCUUUCAGGGCAGGGUGUGAUUCCCGACCGGCGGUAAAGUCCGCGAACCGAUCCCCAACCGGAUCGGCCGACCCGUGUGAAACUCCGGGACCGACAGUACAGUCUGGAUGGAAGAAGAC
rnacentral:ncRNA from 1 species